rnacentral:piRNA from 1 species
UGAACACUUGAAGCUCACUGAUAGGCGA